ACGUAACAAGGUUUCCGUAGGUGAACCUGCGGAAGGAUCAUUAUCGAGUUCAGAAGCGAGGUUGUAGCUGGCCUUCUCGGAGGCAUCGUGCACGCCCUGCCCGUCCCAUAUCAUACCUGUGAACUUUUUGGUAGGCGGGUUUGUGUCGGCCUCGAAAGGGGUCGACCGGCCCUCCGGCCGUCUUUAUAUACACACCAUACGAGUCUUUAGAAUGUUUGUGCGUCUCGACGCAUCUUAUAUAUAACUUUCAGCGACGGAUCUCUUGGCUCUCGCAUCGAUGAAGAACGCAGCGAAACGCGAUAAGUAAUGUGAAUUGCAGAAUUCAGUGAAUCAUCGAAUCUUUGAACGCACCUUGCGCUCCUCGGUAUUCCGAGGAGCAUGCCUGUUUGAGUGUCAUGAAAUUAUCAACCCCUCCUCCUUCAUCGGCGGUGGGGCUUGGACUUGGAGGCUUUGCGGGCUUUUAACGAGUCGGCUCCUCUCAAAUGCAUUAGCUCGAACCCCUGCGGAUCGGCCGUCGGUGUGAUAUAAUGUCUACGUCGUGGUCGUGAGCGUCGGAUCGGCUUCUAAUGGUCCCCUUUCGGAGGCGGAAUUUGAACUUGUGACCUCAAAUCAGGUAGGACUACCCGCUGAACUUAAGCAUAUCAUAGCGGGGAAGGAA
rnacentral:rRNA from 1 species